AUGAUUCCUCCUCCUCCUAUGUUUUCCAUCAACUUUAGAGAUGCAUUCACCACGGUCCAGCAUUUGGCAUACCGUUGGAGGCUGUCCUACAGUACAGCCUCUAACAAAACUAGGCUGUCCUCAAUCCCUGGUAAUAGAAUUGUUUGCCUUUAUACCAAGAAGCUUGGGAAAGCACCAAAAUCUGCAUGUGGUGUGAGCCCAGGCCGACUUAGAGGUGUUUGUGCUGUGAGAACUAAAGUUCUAAUGAGGUUGUCUAAAACGAAAAAACAUGUCAGCAGGGCCUAUGGUGGAUCCAUGUGUGCUAAAUGUGUCCGUGACAGGAUCAAGUGUGCUUUCCUUAUUGAGGAGCAGAAAAUCAUUGUGAAAGUGUUGAAGGCACAAGCACAGAGUCAGAAAACUAAAUAAAUUUUAAAAAUGAAGCUUUUUUUGGG